GAUGUAACACUAUUUGUUUAUCCAUUUAUUUGUUGAGAGACAUUUGGGUUGUUUUCAAUUUGGGGCUAUAUAAAUAAAGCUGCUAUAAAUAUUUAUGUACAAGUUUUUGUGUAGGCAUAUUUUUAUUUCUCUCGGGUAAAUACUUAGGAUUGGAAUUGCUGGGUCAUAUAGCAAGUGUGUGUCUAACUUGCAAUAAAUUGCUGAAUU
rnacentral:lncRNA from 1 species